CUUCUGCUGCUGGCUCCAUACUGUUCCCAUGACUGUCUUGGAGGCACUUUUUAGGGUCUGGUAAGGCAAGUACCCCCCGCCAUUACUUCACAAGUUUUCUGACUAUUUUCACUCGUUUAUUCUUCCAGAUGAAAUUUAGAAUCAAGUUCAAAACAAAAACUCUUUGGAAUUUUGAUUGUGAUUUUGCUUAAAAUUAGAGAUUACUUUGGGGAGAAUAGUGGUCUUUGCAAUUUUGAAUCUUCCUACCCAAGAACAUGAAAAACAGGAUGAAGUUGUCUAUUACGAUCCAUGUGAAAGUCCAGAGGAACUUAGUCAUUGACUGUGGUGGGGCUGCAGGACGAUAAGAAUUCAGAAGUGAAAGAACUCAGAAGGCAGUGCCAGCAGCUGGAGUCUGUUAAACGGGGCAGUCUGUGUCAAAAGAGCUUCUCUCCAGAGUAGAAAGGUCCUUGAAGUGUUUUCACAUAGAUAUUUCACAAGAGCCAUUUCAGAACUGAGAACAUUCGGCGUGCACUCUUCCUCUUUUGGUCCCAGUUUUUAUGUGUCCUACUUGAAAUUAUGUUUGCUCCCGUUUCAAUUGUAAUAUUGCACUUACUCAUUAGUUUUUAGUUUGAACUCUCCUGCGAGGUCUAAUGUAGAGUUUGGACAAGAACACAGAUUCAUAAUAAACCUACCCAGUCAAUUUGGUAUAAAGGCUUAGAAGGUGGAACUGGCCACAUUUUGAAUUGGAGGUAAGGAUCAGGAAUGGUAAUGGAGAGACAUAGGAUUUUCUUAUGGGAACAAGAAACAAAUAACCUCUGGGCAGUAUUAGAGCCCAGAGAGUGAUAAGCCUCUUCUAACUUCAAUAUUCUAUGUACAAAUUCACAAGACUUUUUCUUUCUUUCUUUCUUUUGAGACGGAGUCUCACUCUGUAGCCCAGGCUGGAGUGCAAUGGCGCGAUCUUGGCUCACUGCAAUCUCCCCCUCCCGGGUUCACGCCAUUCUCCUGCCUCUGCCUCGCGAGUAGCUGGAACUACUGGCGCCCGCCACCACAUCCAGCUAAUUUUUUUGUAUUUUUAGUGAAGACUGGGUUUCACCGUGUUAGCCAGGAUGGUCUGGAUCUCCUGACCUUGGGAUCCGCCCGCCUCGGCCUCCGAAAGUGCUGGGAUUACAGGCGUGAGCCACCGUGCCUGGCCGAGACUUUUAAUUAUGCAAUGCCAGACUGCAUUGCAUAAACCAAAGGCCAACAGAGAGGUGACUUUUCACAUUACUGGCACAAGAAGAGCCGAGAUCAGAAAGCUCCAACUUAAUGCAAACAUAGACAAGAAAUCCGACAGAAAUGACUUCUGUGUCUGGUCAACUUAACAUAACAUGACAUAUUGUCAAGCGCAUUUGGCUUUUUAGGUAGAAUUGUCUAUAAAGGUUUAACUGCUUUAGAAAAUAUAAAUGUGAAGAUUUGUGGUAUUUGGGUUUAUAUAUAAGAUAUUUCUACAUUGAAAAGAGAGUGGAAAAGCUUGGUAUAAGAUUUGUAAAAUAUGUUUGUAAUAAUGCUAAUGGAAGAGGUGAGAGUUGGGUGGGGUGGGGUGUGGAUGGGAACAUGGUUUGGGGAUUGGGGAAAGGGAAGUCAUGCUGUUAAUAAAAUAGUGAGGCAUGUUGUAUAAAGUGUUUUAUGUCUCAAUUGAAAUGUUA
rnacentral:lncRNA from 1 species